GCCGGAAUUGCUAGUAAUGGCAGGUCAGCAUACUGCCGUGAAUACGUUCCCGGGCCUUGUACACACCGCCCGUCACACCAUGAGAGUUGGGGAUACCCAAAGCCCGUGAGCCAACUUUAUAAGAGGCAGCGGUCUAAGGUAGAAUCAAUGAUUGGGGUGAAGUCGUAACAAGGUAAC
rnacentral:rRNA from 1 species